rnacentral:rRNA from 1 species
GGCAGCAGUGGGGAAUAUAGGACAAUGGGCGAAAGCCUGAUCCAGCAAUGCCGCGUGAGUGAUGAAGGCCUUAGGGUUGUAAAGCUCUUUUACCCGAGAUGAUAAUGACAGUAUCGGGAGAAUAAGCUCCGGCUAACUCCGUGCCAGCAGCCGCGGUAAUACGGAGGGAGCUAGCGUUGUUCGGAAUUACUGGGCGUAAAGCGCACGUAGGCGGCUUUUUAAGUCAGGGGUGAAAUCCCGGGGCUCAACCCCGGAACUGCCCUUGAAACUGGGAAGCUAGAAUCUUGGAGAGGCGAGUGGAAUUCCGAGUGUAGAGGUGAAAUUCGUAGAUAUUCGGAAGAACACCAGUGGCGAAGGCGACUCGCUGGACAAGUGUUGACGCUGAGGUGCGAAAGCGUGGGGA